rnacentral:rRNA from 1 species
AGAGUUGAUCCUGGCUACAGAACGAACGCUGGUGGCGUGUCUUAUACAUGCAAGUCGAGCGAGGCAGCAAUGCCGAGCGGCGAACGGGUGAGUAACGCGUAAGCAAUCUGCCCCAUAUCAGGAAAUACCCGUGCCAACGCGCGGUUAAUGUCCAGGAGAGUGGCCCCCUGCAUGGGGGGUUGACUAGAGAUUUAUCGGUAUGGGAUGAGCUUGCGUCCGAUUAGCUAGUUGGCGGGGCAACGGCCCACCAAGGCGACGAUCGGUAGCCGGCCUGAGAGGGUGAUCGGCCACAUUGGGACUGAGAUACGGCCCAGACUCCUACGGGAGGCAGCAGUAGGGAAUAUUGCACAAUGGGGGAAACCCUGAUGCAGCAACGCCACGUGUGGGAAGAAGCAUUUCGGUGUGUAAACCACUGUCAUGAGGGAAUAAGGCCCUUAUCCGUAAGGGACUUGAAUGUACCUUGAGAGGAAGCACCGGCAAACUUCGUGCCAGCCGCCGC